rnacentral:rRNA from 1 species
UUCAGCAGUGGAUGUCUAGGCUCGCACAUCGAUGAAGAACGCUGCGAACUGCGAUACGUAAUGCGAAUUGCAGGAUUCAGUGAGUCAUCGAAAUUUUGAACGCAUAUUGCACUUUCGGGUUAUGCCUGGAAGUAUGCCUGUAUCAGUGUCCGUACAUCAAACUUG